rnacentral:lncRNA from 1 species
UUCCGACCGCUGUGCUUUUGGUGGUUCUUUACUGACCGCUAGAUGCCACUGACUUCAAUUGAUUUGUUUUUAAGCACAGCCUGCAUCAUGAACAUGGCGAAACAAAUUGUUGCUAUUUUAUACUUAUUUUUCUGUGAUUCAAAAUUACCGAAUUGAACUUCGUUUGUAAAGUCUUGAGUCAUUCCAACAAGUUGACUUAGUGCUUCUCAGCCAUGAGCCAUCCAUUAGAUCCACUGUCAAAAGCCUGAAACUCAAAUUUGAAGCCCACAUGUAUUGGAAUUAUGCAAAUGUGCCGAUAAGGAUCUUUUCCGAAUCUUGUGAUUUUGAUAGUGUAGCCUGUUAGUUAUAACAAUGAUUUCUACAUCUGUUUAGAAGUCAACCCAGUCCAGAGAUAGAGUUUCAGUUUAGUGUGGAGUGUGAAACGAAUAACCUGCCAUGUGCAUGUGCAUUUACCAGAUCUGCUUGAUGAAAGUCAAAUGCCUUGCUGAAUUUUGUAAACAUCAUUAUCACCUUUUACCAUGCUACUAUGAGUCUAUGAGUUAAUGACUGAGAAGUUCUGCUCCGUCCGCUGUGACACACACCUGCAGCCACUCGCCACGGGAUUAUGCCAAGGUAAUGCAGCGGAGACGUCGAGAAGAUGAACACCAAAACAUCGCCGGUA